GGCGGCGUGCUUAACACAUGCAAGUCGAACGAUGAAGCCCUUCGGGGUGGAUUAGUGGCGAACGGGUGAGUAACACGUGGGCAAUCUGCCCUGCACUCUGGGACAAGCCCUGGAAACGGGGUCUAAUACCGGAUACGAGCCUCCUGGGCAUCUGGGAGGUUGGAAAGCUCCGGCGGUGCAGGAUGAGCCCGCGGCCUAUCAGCUUGUUGGUGAGGUAACGGCUCACCAAGGCGACGACGGGUAGCCGGCCUGAGAGGGCGACCGGCCACACUGGGACUGAGACACGGCCCAGACUCCUACGGGAGGCAGCAGUGGGGAAUAUUGCACAAUGGGCGCAAGCCUGAUGCAGCGACGCCGCGUGAGGGAUGACGGCCUUCGGGUUGUAAACCUCUUUCAGCAGGGAAGAAGCGAGAGUGACGGUACCUGCAGAAGAAGCGCCGGCUAACUACGUGCCAGCAGCCGCGGUAAUACGUAGGGCGCAAGCGUUGUCCGGAAUUAUUGGGCGUAAAGAGCUCGUAGGCGGCUUGUCGCGUCGAUUGUGAAAGCCCGGGGCUUAACUCCGGGUCUGCAGUCGAUACGGGCAGGCUAGAGUGUGGUAGGGGAGAUCGGAAUUCCUGGUGUAGCGGUGAAAUGCGCAGAUAUCAGGAGGAACACCGGUGGCGAAGGCGGAUCUCUGGGCCAUUACUGACGCUGAGGAGCGAAAGCGUGGGGAGCGAACAGGAUUAGAUACCCUGGUAGUCCACGCCGUAAACGGUGGGAACUAGGUGUUGGCGACAUUCCACGUCGUCGGUGCCGCAGCUAACGCAUUAAGUUCCCCGCCUGGGGAGUACGGCCGC
rnacentral:rRNA from 1 species